GGGGAUGACUGGUUUCGACUUGGAAUGGUUGUUCCAGGAGAAGCGGGCCGAGGACCCAGGGUCAACUCGUUAACGAUCCUUGGAAACCUAUAAGUGCCGAGAACACUCGCACUGACUUCGCUCUCGCUGCCUGAUCAGUGAUCGAAGGGUCAGCCCGGAUGUAGCCUUCCGUCCGGAUCCUGGCCUCGUUUAGAAGGCUUGCCGUACAGCUGUGGUCACGGGAGCUGUACGGGACGUUUCCGUGACUGGGCUUGUCUGCACCAUGUCGGUGUGAGUGCAGGAGCCG
rnacentral:tmRNA from 2 species